rnacentral:rRNA from 1 species
UAUUAUUUUGGAUGUUAAAUUUGUUAUUAGAGUAGUAUUAGUUAUGAUCUUGAAACUUAAAGAAUUUGGCGGUAUUAUAGUCCUUUUAGAGGAAUCUGUCCCUUUAUCGAUAAUCCGCGUUGAACCUUACUAAUUUAUUGUUUGUAUACCGCCGUUAAUCUGAAUAUUCUUAUAGGAUAUUUUCUUAUCUUUUGUUAUCAUUUUAUUUCAGGUCAAGGUGCAGCUUAUUAAUUAGUGGAGAUGGAUUACACUUUAUUUUCUUAUUGGAUUGCUUGUUGAAAUAUGAUUAUUAAAUUGGAUUUAAUAGUAAUGUUAUAUAGAUUAUUAACAUGAUUUUGGCUCUAUGAUAUGUACAUAUCGCCCGUCACUCUCGUUAUUAAAGUU